AGUAAGGGUUCAGAAAUCAAAUUCCCUUCCUCCAAACAAUAUAAGGGAGAGUGAUGAUCUCACAAAUGUGGUCUCUAAAACUGAUGAUCCAGAGAAGAUCAUAAGGAGUAAUGCCUGGUGGACUAGGAGCAAUUUGGCGUUUCUGAAUGAACCUCCAGUGAUUUUAACAGAUGCUCCUU